rnacentral:rRNA from 1 species
UACAGAGGGGGCAAGCGUUGUUCGGAAUUACUGGGCGUAAAGGGCGCGUAGGCGGCCUUCUAAGUCGAACGUGAAAUCCCCGGGCUCAACCCGGGAACUGCGUCCGAUACUGGAAGGCUUGAAUCCGGGAGAGGGAUGCGGAAUUCCGAGGUGUAGCGGUGAAAUGCGUAGAUAUCUGGAGGAACACCGGUGGCGAAGGCGGCGAUCCUGGACCGGC